AGAGUUUGAUCCUGGCUCAGGAUGAACGCUGGCGGCGUGCUUAACACAUGCAAGUCGAACGAACCUUCGGGUUAGUGGCGGACGGGUGAGUAACGCGUGAGAAUCUGCCCUCAGGAGGGGGAUAACGGCUGGAAACGGCCGCUAAUACCCCAUAUGCCGAGAGGUGAAAUGAAUUUCGCCUGAGGAUGAGCUCGCGUCUGAUUAGCUAGUUGGUAAGAUAAGAGCUUACCAAGGCAUCGAUCAGUAGCUGGUCUGAGAGGAUGAUCAGCCACACUGGGACUGAGACACGGCCCAGACUCCUACGGGAGGCAGCAGUGGGGAAUUUUCCGCAAUGGGCGAAAGCCUGACGGAGCAACGCCGCGUGAGGGAUGAAGGCCUCUGGGCUGUAAACCUCUUUUUCUCAAGGAAGAAGACAUGACGGUACUUGAGGAAUAAGCCACGGCUAAUUCCGUGCCAGCAGCCGCGGUAAUACGGGAGUGGCAAGCGUUAUCCGGAAUUAUUGGGCGUAAAGCGUCCGCAGGCGGCCUUUUAAGUCUGUUGUUAAAGCGUGGAGCUCAACUCCAUUCCGGCAAUGGAAACUGGAAGGCUGGAGUGUGGUAGGGGCAGAGGGAAUUCCCGGUGUAGCGGUGAAAUGCGUAGAUAUCGGGAAGAACACCAGUGGCGAAGGCGCUCUGCUGGGCCAUAACUGACGCUCAUGGACGAAAGCCAGGGGAGCGAAAGGGAUUAGAUACCCCUGUAGUCCUGGCCGUAAACGAUGAACACUAGGUGUCGGGGGAAUCGACCCCCUCGGUGUCGUAGCCAACGCGUUAAGUGUUCCGCCUGGGGAGUACGCACGCAAGUGUGAAACUCAAAGGAAUUACGGGGGCCCGCACAAGCGGUGGAGUAUGUGGUUUUAUUCGAUGCAACGCGAAGAACCUUACCAGGGUUUGACAUCCUGCGAAUCCCUUGGAAACUAGGGAGUGCCUUCGGGAGCGCAGAGACAGGUGGUGCAUGGCUGUCGUCAGCUCGUGUCGUGAGAUGUUGGGUUAAGUCCCGCAACGAGCGCAACCCACGUCUUUAGUUGCCAGCAUUCAGUUGGGCACUCUAGAGAGACCGCCGGUGGUAAACCGGAGGAAGGUGUGGAUGACGUCAAGUCAUCAUGCCCCUUACAUCCUGGGCUACACACGUACUACAAUGCUACGGACAAAGGGCAGCAAACUCGCGAGAGCUAGCAAAUCCCAUAAACCGUGGCUCAGUUCAGAUCGUAGGCUGCAACUCGCCUACGUGAAGGAGGAAUCGCUAGUAAUCGCAGGUCAGCAUACUGCGGUGAAUACGUUCCCGGGCCUUGUACACACCGCCCGUCACACCAUGGAAGUUGGCCACGCCCGAAGCCGUUACUCCAACCCUUGUGGAGGAGGACGUCGAAGGUGGGGCUGAUGACUGGGGUGAGGUCGUAACAAGGUA
rnacentral:rRNA from 1 species